GUUAAGAAAAUGUAAAUUGACUGCAUGGAACGUUGUACAAAAAAAGAAAAAGAUUGAGGCCAAAUGUUCUCAAAUCUUAAAAAGACAAAAUAUAUUUUAGUGUUCUCCAUAAAUUGACUUGUUGCCAAUAAAAAAGUACUGCACAUAGGUGCAAAAGGUACCUCUCCCUAACUUAAACUCUGUAUUUCUGGGCCAACCACAAGACAAAAUUAUGCUACGACUUAGCACGACUGACGAACAUUCUAUUGUAAAAGCAUUAUAUUGCCACAUUUAAAGAAGUCCCAGCACACAAUGAUGAAAAGAAAUGUUGGGAAAGCAUGACUUGCGCAAUAUUGCCACAGUGACACAAUCCAAUUUCGAGAGGAGGAAGAAAAAGAAAUAAAACUACACAUUUUCCAUUAGAACUUCCUCAAGUUGUCUGAACUGCAAGAGAGUGUGACAACCACAUUAUAUUACCAAUGUGUUUGCAGUAUUACCCCCUUCUAUUAUCCAUAGCUCUUCUUAGGCCUUUUUAUAUAUCUUUUCUCGACUGUGUUUGUUCGACUUUUGUGAAUCUGCCUAUAAAAGGUAUUUAUGUAAUACACUGAAUUGAUUGUGUUGUUUACAGAGUUUUAUCAGAGUAGAAAGUUCUGGGAAGGAGAAGGUACAAACUUUCCCCAACUGUUUAAGUAACAAAUAAUGAUGCUACAUCCACUAAAAAAAAGCCUGCACAUUGUCAUCCAUCACAUCCACAAAAAUUAUGGUAAAUACAGGUAUUGUAAUACUUCAUUUUAAACAUUUAAAAAGUAUACUUUGUAUCAUUGAAUUGUCAGGUUAGCCCUCACACGGAAUCCCCCAAAGAAAGACAGAGGAAAAAUGCUGUGUCACACUGAGUAAGGCUAAGCAAAUCACCCGACUUAGUAUGGAAUGCAACUCUAUUGAGGUGAAAUUCAGCCUCACAAGCCUGCCUGUCCAGCAUGUCCACGUUCCCCACUGGGCCAUGGCCACUCACACCAGCUCUUCGCUUUGACAACGAGCCCUUUGUCCUCCCUUUAUCAACCUAUAAUUUACACAGGAUCCCCCCCAUUCCUGAUGAUCCAGGACACAUGCAAACAAAAGCCCACAAUGGAUAAUAGAGAAAAAGCUGUUUGUACAGCAGUGUUGUUUUUCAAUUUUGGGUUACGUCGUGAGUGUCAAGUGUCUGCCAGCCUGAUCAUAUAUUCUCAUUUAGGUGUGUCUCCACUCCUAUUAGCUGGAGCCAGCUUUGUCCUUGAAUAACCAGACACCACCUGACACUACCUUUAUGACACACUGCCCAUAGCAGCAGACUCAGAGAGCAUAGAAAAUCCCCCUUAUGUCACUUGAGAUUAGGUGGUUUAACUAGAAAAUCCUCCAAUCUUCUUAGCAGGCAGCAAACACUUCUUUGAUCAGUUAAUGUGGCUAAACAUUCACAGGAAUAGAUAGGCUGUUGGUGCCUUUGAAAAAUGCUCUUUCUUGAAAAAUGUUCAGUGUCAGGAGCAAAGAUUUCAAAACCAGGGUAUUACAGAGAAGAACAUUUUAAAAAUUACAACGUUUCAGCUAUGGUGAAAUGUUUGAACAGUAUUUUUCCACAUUUCCUUUACUGUAUAUGCACUUGCUGUUUUUCGGGCAUGAAUAUAUUAAAUUAUUUAGCAUUUAAACACUGGCUGCUCAUUAAAAAAAAAUGAAUACUCUCAUACUCAGUGUUUUGAAGAAAAUGUUGGGUCAUAGUAUCUGAACUACUGAAAUAAGAUGAGAUUAUUUUUGUUUUCCAAGGUCCUAAUAAAUCAUGACUAGAUUGCCUAUCUUACAGUAAGUUUCUAUAUGUUUUUUUUUUUCUUCCUGAAAACAAACCAUGUACAAUUUUGGCCCUGCUAAGAACAUCAGUUUUUGUCUAACAGGGUAAGGAAGUAGCCACACUGCUAAACAGUAACUUACCCAAAUAAGAACAAAACAUUUUGAUUGGAUAAAAAAUAUCAGCAAACAAGCUGUGGUGCUACUUUCAACUUCGGUAAACCUUCAAAAAUGGACACCAAGAUUACUGGUCUUACCGAUCAGGGUUACUGGUGAGCCGUACUCUAGAGCUGAAAUGGCUGUCCACUUCCCUGUGCCUUUCUGCCCAGCAGCAUCGCGGAUUUUAGGCAACAGGUGAGUACCAUCGGCAUCCCUGAACUUCAGGAUGCCAGCUGUGAUCUCAAUAAGAAAGGAGUCCAAUUCUGUCUUGUUCCAGUUAUCAAAAGCCUG
ensembl:lncRNA